rfam:Gossypium arboreum cultivar AKA8401 contig_48272_1, whole genome shotgun sequence.
GGGUAAGAUCAUACCAGCACUAAUGCACCAGAUCCCAUCAGAACCUUGCAGUUAAGCGUGCUUGGGCGAGAGUAGUUCUAGGAUUGGUGACCUCGUGGGAAGUCCUCGUGUUGCACCCC